AUAUGGUCAAGUGAAGAAGCGCAUACGGUGGAUGCCUUGGCAGUCAGAGGCGAUGAAAGACGUGGUAGCCUGCGAAAAGCUUCGGGGAGUCGGCAAACAGACUGUGAUCCGGAGAUGUCUGAAUGGGGGAACCCAGCCAUCAUAAGAUGGUUAUCUUACACUGAAUACAUAGGUGUAAGAGGCGAACCAGGGGAACUGAAACAUCUAAGUACCCUGAGGAAAAGAAAUCAACCGAGAUUCCCUUAGUAGUGGCGAGCGAACGGGGACCAGCCCUUAAGUUGUAUUGAGAUUAGCGGAACGCUCUGGAAAGUGCGGCCAUAGUGGGUGAUAGCCCUGUACGCGAAAAUCCCUUUGCAAUGAAAUCGAGUAGGACGGGGCACGAGAAACCUUGUCUGAAUAUGGGGGGACCAUCCUCCAAGGCUAAAUACUACUGACUGACCGAUAGUGAACCAGUACCGUGAGGGAAAGGCGAAAAGAACCGCGGAGAGCGGAGUGAAAUAGAUCCUGAAACCGUAUGCGUACAAGCAGUGGGAGCCCACUUUGUUGGGUGACUGCGUACCUUUUGUAUAAUGGGUCAGCGACUUAUUUUCAGUGGCGAGCUUAACCGAAUAGGGGAGGCGUAGCGAAAGCGAGUCUUAAUAGGGCGUCUAGUCGCUGGGAAUAGACCCGAAACCGGGCGAUCUAUCCAUGGGCAGGUUGAAGGUUGGGUAACACUAACUGGAGGACCGAACCGACUACCGUUGAAAAGUUAGCGGAUGACCUGUGGAUCGGAGUGAAAGGCUAAUCAAGCUCGGAGAUAGCUGGUUCUCCUCGAAAGCUAUUUAGGUAGCGCCUCAUGUAUCACUGUAGGGGGUAGAGCACUGUUUCGGCUAGGGGGUCAUCCCGACUUACCAAACCGAUGCAAACUCCGAAUACCUACAAGUGCCGAGCAUGGGAGACACACGGCGGGUGCUAACGUCCGUCGUGAAAAGGGAAACAACCCAGACCGUCAGCUAAGGUCCCAAAGUCAUGGUUAAGUGGGAAACGAUGUGGGAAGGCUUAGACAGCUAGGAGGUUGGCUUAGAAGCAGCCACCCUUUAAAGAAAGCGUAAUAGCUCACUAGUCGAGUCGGCCUGCGCGGAAGAUGUAACGGGGCUCAAACCAUGCACCGAAGCUACGGGUAUCAUCUUUUGAUGAUGCGGUAGAGGAGCGUUCUGUAAGCCUGUGAAGGUGAGUUGAGAAGCUUGCUGGAGGUAUCAGAAGUGCGAAUGCUGACAUGAGUAACGACAAUGGGUGUGAAAAACACCCACGCCGAAAGACCAAGGUUUCCUGCGCAACGUUAAUCGACGCAGGGUUAGUCGGUCCCUAAGGCGAGGCUGAAAAGCGUAGUCGAUGGAAAACAGGUUAAUAUUCCUGUACUUCUGGUUAUUGCGAUGGAGGGACGGAGAAGGCUAGGCCAGCCUGGCGUUGGUAGUCCAGGUUUAAGGUGGUAGGCUGAGAUCUUAGGUAAAUCCGGGAUCUUAAGGCCGAGAGCUGAUGACGAGUGUUCUUUUAGAACAUGAAGUGGUUGAUGCCAUGCUUCCAAGAAAAGCUUCUAAGCUUCAGGUAACCAGGAACCGUACCCCAAACCGACACAGGUGGUUGGGUAGAGAAUACCAAGGCGCUUGAGAGAACUCGGGUGAAGGAACUAGGCAAAAUGGCACCGUAACUUCGGGAGAAGGUGCGCCGGUGAGGGUGAAGCAUUUACUGCGUAAGCCCACGCCGGUCGAAGAUACCAGGCCGCUGCGACUGUUUAUUAAAAACACAGCACUCUGCAAACACGAAAGUGGACGUAUAGGGUGUGACGCCUGCCCGGUGCCGGAAGGUUAAUUGAUGGGGUUAGCGCAAGCGAAGCUCUUGAUCGAAGCCCCGGUAAACGGCGGCCGUAACUAUAACGGUCCUAAGGUAGCGAAAUUCCUUGUCGGGUAAGUUCCGACCUGCACGAAUGGCGUAACGAUGGCGGCGCUGUCUCCACCCGAGACUCAGUGAAAUUGAAAUCGCUGUGAAGAUGCAGUGUAUCCGCGGCUAGACGGAAAGACCCCGUGAACCUUUACUAUAGCUUUGCACUGGACUUUGAAUUUGCUUGUGUAGGAUAGGUGGGAGGCUUUGAAGCGUGGACGCCAGUCUGCGUGGAGCCAACCUUGAAAUACCACCCUGGCAACUUUGAGGUUCUAACUCAGGUCCGUUAUCCGGAUCGAGGACAGUGUAUGGUGGGUAGUUUGACUGGGGCGGUCUCCUCCUAAAGAGUAACGGAGGAGUACGAAGGUGCGCUCAGACCGGUCGGAAAUCGGUCGUAGAGUAUAAAGGCAAAAGCGCGCUUGACUGCGAGACAGACACGUCGAGCAGGUACGAAAGUAGGUCUUAGUGAUCCGGUGGUUCUGUAUGGAAGGGCCAUCGCUCAACGGAUAAAAGGUACUCCGGGGAUAACAGGCUGAUACCGCCCAAGAGUUCAUAUCGACGGCGGUGUUUGGCACCUCGAUGUCGGCUCAUCACAUCCUGGGGCUGAAGCCGGUCCCAAGGGUAUGGCUGUUCGCCAUUUAAAGUGGUACGCGAGCUGGGUUUAGAACGUCGUGAGACAGUUCGGUCCCUAUCUGCCGUGGACGUUUGAGAUUUGAGAGGGGCUGCUCCUAGUACGAGAGGACCGGAGUGGACGAACCUCUGGUGUUCCGGUUGUCACGCCAGUGGCAUUGCCGGGUAGCUAUGUUCGGAAAAGAUAACCGCUGAAAGCAUCUAAGCGGGAAACUUGCCUCAAGAUGAGAUCUCACUGGAACCUUGAGUUCCCUGAAGGGCCGUCGAAGACUACGACGUUGAUAGGUUGGGUGUGUAAGCGCUGUGAGGCGUUGAGCUAACCAAUACUAAUUGCCCGUGAGGCUUGACCAU
rnacentral:rRNA from 1 species